UGGGGAAUAUUGGGCAAUGGGGGAAACCCUGACCCAGCAACGCCGCGUGAAGGAAGAAGGCUUUCGGGUUGUAAACUUCUUUUACCAGGGACGAAGAAAGUGACGGUACCUGGAGAAAAAGCCACGGCUAACUACGUGCCAGCAGCCGCGGUAAUACGUAGGUGGCAAGCGUUGUCCGGAUUUACUGGGUGUAAAGGGCGUGUAGGCGGAGGUUCAAGUCAGAAGUGAAAUCUACCGGGCCGUUAACCCCGGAACCUGCAUUUGAAACUGUUCCCCUUCGAGUAUCGGAGAGGCAAGCGGAAUUCCUAGUGUAGCGGUGAAAUGCGUAGAUAUUAGGAGGAACACCAGUGGCGAAGGCGGCUUGCUGGACGACAACUGACGCUGAGGCGCGAAAGCGUGGGGAGC
rnacentral:rRNA from 1 species